rnacentral:ncRNA from 1 species
AAAUUCAGCUCCGUACAAAAGAAAACGAUGAGGCGUUGUACGGAG